rnacentral:lncRNA from 1 species
AAAAGAUCCAGCCCUUCAUGUCAUCCAAAGAGUCUAUACAUUCUUUCUUUCAUUUUACAGUCACAUCUUUUGCAAUAUGUGAUCUUAGCAAGAUCCAUUUGAAAUGAAGUCUCAGAGCUGACAAGCAGUGAUUUAUCACUGUACAGAACUGGAAGAGGACAUACAGAGGGGCCAGACCACGGGGAAAUGUCAUAAAAUGAGACGAAGAUGUGGCCUGAACUCUAACAGGCAGAUAAUUCUCCCAGAUUGUCUCUCUGCACCAUCAAACAAUAACUUCAGAUGCUGUUCAAAUAUGACAGUAUUGAUCAGAAUUCGCAGAUGACAGAAAAGUGAAGUUAUUGGUCCCACUGCAGAUAGAAGCAUGUGAUUCUGCUGUCCGUGAAACAACAGCAUGGUUCUUCUGUAAUGGAGGAAGGAGUGACUGACAUUAGAACACCCAAGACAACAGGUCCAGAGAAGGAUUUGCCAAAGGAAUCUGGUAGUGACCAGUAAGGUAAAUUAGAAAAUAUUCCCAUUACUAAAAUGUAAUUCAACAGAUCGUUUCCAUGUUUCUUCCUGAU